rnacentral:rRNA from 1 species
GGGGGAAAAAUUAAUAAAAUAAAAUUAAUAAAAAAAUUUUUAAGUUAAAAAUAAAUAAUGGGGGUUAAAGUAUUUUUAAUGGAAAAAAUUUAAAAUUUUAUAGGGAAUUAAGUAUUGUGAGAAAAAUUUGAAAUAAUUUAAAUUAAUUAAUUAUAAAGAAAAUUUAAUUUAUUGUAUCUUGUGUAUCAGAGUUUAUUAAAUAUAUUUUUUAAAUAAAAAAAUCUCGAAUUUAAAAGAGUUAAUUGAUUAUAAAAGUUAAUGUAGCAUAAUUAUUUUAAAUAAUUAAUUAGAAAUGAAAUGUUAAUCGUUUUUAAAUAUAUCUAGUUAUUUUAGAAAAAAAUUUAAUUUAAAAUUUAUAUAAUUUUAUAUUUUAAUAAAAAAAAAAUAAAAAUUUAAAUUUAAUAUAUUAGGGGAUAAGCUUUAAAUUAAAAAUUUAUAAUAAAAUUAAAUUAAAAUUAAAAUUUUUAAAAUUUAUAUUGUCUAAAAAUUAUAAUUUAUUAUAAAAAAUUUUAAUAAAAAUAAAAUUUAAUAAAUAAAAUUUAAAUUUAUAUAAAAUAAUAAUUUAAAAUAAAAAAAAAUUAGAAAUAAUGAUAAAAUUAGUAUAAAAAUAAAAUAAAAAUAUAAAUAAAUAAUUAAAAAAAAAAUAAAGGAAUUCGGCAAAUAUAUGUAUUCACUUGCUUAUCAAAAACAUGUCUUUUUGUCAAUAAUUUAAAGUCUAAUCUGCCCACUGAUGAAUAUUAAAGGGCUGCAGUAUUAUGACUGUACAAAGGUAGCAUAAUCAUUAGUUUUUUAAUUGGAAACUUGUAUGAAAGAUUUAAUGAAAUAUAAACUGUCUCUUAAUUUUUAUUAAAACUUUAUUUUUUAGUAAAAAAGCUAAAGUAAUUUUAAAAGACGAGAAGACCCUAUAGAGUUUUAUAUUCAAUUUUAUUUUAAAAUCAUAUAAAAUUUAAUAUUGAAAUAAAAUAAAAUAUUAUAUUGGGGGGAUAGAAAAAUUAAAUUAACUUUUUUUAAAAAUUAACAUAAAUGAAUGAUUAAAUGAUCCAUUAAUAAUGAUUACAAGAAAAAAUUACCUUAGGGAUAACAGCGUAAUAUUUUUUUUUAGUUCAAAUAAAAAGAAAAGUUUGCGACCUCGAUGUUGGAUUAAGAUAAAAUUUAGACGCAAAAGUUUAAAAUUUUGAUCUGUUCGAUCAUUAAAAUCUUACAUGAUCUGAGUUCAAACCGGUGUAAGCCAGGUUGGUUUCUAUCUUUAGAAAAAUAAAAUAUUUUA